UACGGGGGGGGCAAGCGUUGUUCGGAAUUACUGGGCGUGAAGGGUUCGUAGGUGGCUUGUUAAGUCAGACGUGAAAUCCCUCGGCUCAACCGGGGAACUGCGUCUGAGACUGAUGAGCUCGAGUGCAGGAGAGGAACGCGGAAUUCCAGGUGUAGCGGUGAAAUGCGUAGAUAUCUGGAGGAACACCGGUGGCGAAGGCGGCGUUCUGGACUGCAACUGACACUGAGGAACGAAAGCCAGGGGAGCAAACGGG
rnacentral:rRNA from 1 species